GACGUAGGAUGCAAGCGUUGUCCGGAUUUAUUGGGCGUAAAGAGUUCGUAGGCGGUUGAUCAAGUCUAAUGUGAAAUAAUAGGGCUUAACCCUAUACCCGCAUUGGUUACUGAUUGACUAGAGCAAGGUAGGGGUCAGAAGAAUUCCUGGUGUAGCGGUGAAAUGCGUAGAUAUCAGGAGGAACACCGGUGGCGAAAGCGUCUGACUGGGCCUUUGCUGACGCUGAGGAACGAGAGCUAGGGGAGCGAAAGGG
rnacentral:rRNA from 1 species